AGUCCACCUGUAAUCAAGGUCAGGGAUGAAGUCCGGCUCCCGUAAAAGUCCUGAUGGAGUUUACCCGUAAGUGAAGUCGCGGGCGGAGCUCGGCUCCCGUAGGAGUCCGGGUGAAGCCUUCCAGUAGUUGGGGUUGGGGACGAAGUUCGGCUCCCGUAGGAGUCCAGACGAAGUCUGCCUGUGGUUGGAGUCAGAGACGAGAUCUGGCUUCCGUAGGAGUUCGGACGUCGUGAAGAAUCUAGUCGGCGCUGGAGGGGU
rnacentral:lncRNA from 1 species